GAUGAACGCUGGCGGCGUGCCUAAUACAUGCAAGUCGAGCGAACAGAUGAGGAGCUUGCUCCUCUGACGUUAGCGGCGGACGGGUGAGUAACACGUGGAUAACCUACCUAUAAGACUGGGGUAACUUCGGGAAACCGGAGCUAAUACCGGAUAAUAUAUUGAACCGCAUGGUUCAAUAGUGAAAGACGGUUUUGCUGUCACUUAUAGAUGGAUCCGCGCCGCAUUAGCUAGUUGGUAAGGUAACGGCUUACCAAGGCAACGAUGCGUAGCCGACCUGAGAGGGUGAUCGGCCACACUGGAACUGAGACACAGUCCAGACUCCUACGGGAGGCAGCAGUAGGGAAUCUUCCGCAAUGGGCGAAAGCCUGACGGAGCAACGCCGCGUGAGUGAUGAAGGUCUUCGGAUCGUAAAACUCUGUUAUUAGGGAAGAACAAAUGUGUAAGUAACUAUGCACGUCUUGACGGUACCUAAUCAGAAAGCCACGGCUAACUACGUG
rnacentral:rRNA from 1 species